ACAGUGAAGUGAUUGCCAACGAAGAAGCAGCGUCCGAACCGGUGAAGCUCCACUCGCUGUUCUGCCCUCCGCCUUCAGUGCUGGCGUGGCCGGGAGAUGGGGAGGAUGUUGUGUGCUGCUCUCCGUCAAGGCUGAUGCUGGGGUCCGGUGGUGUUGGUAACUGUGACUAGAGAAGAGGACCAGCUGACAUUUGACUCAUGGAGUGUGGAGCUGUACGACCUCUUAGCACCGUGGGACGUCUUCAGCAACAUCAUCUCCGCCCGAUCGUGAACCAGAUUGACAGACGCCAGGCCCCGAGGCGCAUCCAGAAUCCAGAAACAAGCCAACAACCCUCCGCCUGCCCUCUUACGAACAAGUGACCCAGGUGGUUGGCUGACUCUGGAGGAAGCAAUGGGAGAAUUCCUCAUCUUCCGUGGUCUUCUCCUGCGAGAGCUUGACCAUGGACUUCUCCGACGCCAUCUUUCAUCUGGGCCACUCACACACGCUGCCUCUACGCCCAGCACCUCGGCCUGAACACAACCGGAGCGGCACAGAAGCAAGACGUCGUGUGGGUCUUGAGUGGUCUUGCUCUCUCCCCUAUAUGUGGCUCUGGCUGGCAGGACCUAAGAGGAGUGUUGUUCCCCCUUAGGUGUGUCUUCAGGCGCCUUGCCAUCGAGUCGUCACCAAGAACGUUCUCCUUCGAUGUGUCGCACUCUCCUGUUCCCACCGAGGCAGCACCAGAUACUAACAAUGUCAAGCAGUACAAGACGACCAAUAAAGAUACAAUACAAUAAUGCUUAGGUUUAUCUAUCCAUAUUAGUGAUGAAAAGACUUGGGACCCUCUUUCUACAACGGUAAUUAAUUUAGUUCGUGGAGGAUUGUCUUUACAGCUUGCCUCCCCCGCUUCAACCUUUUCAGCUUACUCCUCCUCUCUGCUCCGGCAAAAAGGUUCCAAUUUCAUCUCUCCACCUGCUGCUUCUGUCCGCCCUAAUGUCUAUAAUUCCUGUGUUACCGCUUAGUUACUUUCGUUGUCCAUCUGUUAUCAGUUCAUGAGUAGAAUUGAUAACACCUAGGAGGUAGUGAAAGCAACAGAGUGGUAACCGGGGAGUUGUAGAAGUCAAGGCAGGUGGAGAGAUGAAACUGGAACCUUUGCCGUAUAGAGUACAAUGAAAAGAUUAGAGCUUGAUUAGGGAGAGGGAUUUGUCAAGGAGAGAGAAAUUGAUAAGGGGGAAUAUUACUCGGGAGAAAAUAUAUCUAAGAAAAUGUCUAUAAGGAAAAUACAUAGAAGAUGAAUCUGUGUAUCAAUAUGUUCAAUGAGGAGUAUGUCCAAGGGAUAAUAUGACUAGAAGGGGGAUCUGUCAACAGCGUAUAUACUGACCCUGGCUAAUACCAUGCUUCAUCCUCUCCCAGAAGUCGGCGGCAGCGCACGGUUCAGCCUCACGGUGCAGGAACUCACACCUCAAGCUCGGGGGGCGGGGCGAAGAUUCGACACACACUUAAGACGAGAGACUGAUCUGAAAGAGGUGGCGCAUUAGACGUUGAGACAGGCGGAAAGGGAUAAGGGAAGGUGACAGUUUGAGGGAGAGAUAUGAUGUAAGCGGGAGUAUAAGUUAGGGAGAGGUGUAAGAAGUAGGACAGACAGACGGAGGAGGAGAGGGUGAAAGGUGACAGUUUGUUUUGGUAGGAAGGCAAAGACAGGGAAGAAAGGGAGUGGGAGAGAUAGGAGUUAAGGGGGUUGUAUAAAACUGCUCGAGUGAUGGGAAUGCAAGUUAGGGAGAGGCGAGAACUAGGGCAGACAGACGGAGGAGGAGGAAGAGGAAUGCGAAGUGGAAAGGGAGAUGGCAAAUGAUAAGAAGGGACACACGAAGAGUAAGGAAGGGAGAAAAACAAGGGAACAGGGAUAAAAAAGGGAGAGACGAAGUAAUGGGAAGAGUCGGUUAGAGGGAUGGAGAAGCAGAGACGAAUAGAAUUAACUAGUUCCUGAAAAUCCAUCCAUGUAUUCUGUUUGACACACACACACACACACACACAUACACAUACACACACACACACACCUAUUGUCAAAACUUAAAAACAUGAACCUGGUAAAAACACGAAAGAAUGAAAAGAUAUUACAAGCGCACACACACACACCCACCUAUUGUCAAAACUUCAAACAUGAACCGGAAAAAAACACGAAAAAAUGGAAAGAAAUAUUACAAGCGCACGCACACACACACACACACACACACACACACACACACACACACACACACACACACACACACACA